rnacentral:misc_RNA from 1 species
UUUUUUUUUACCCUUGAAUAGGCAUCUUAUUAGAUAUUGCAAAAAGUAAUUUGAAACUGAUUUUUUAGCAUUUAUGCAGCUAUAAGAUCCCUGACAAAGUGAAAGGUAAGUUUUAUAGAAUUGUGGUUAGGCUAGUUAUGCUAUAUAGAAGUUAAUUUUAGGCAUUUAAGAUACAAUAUACUCACAAGAUAAGUGUGGCAAAAAUGUGGAUGUUAAGAUGGAUGUCCAGUAACUUGAUAAUGGAUAAGAUUAGUAGUGACUACAUUUGCUAGAGACAGAGAGUGCAUGUAGCAUAUAUUGGGGAUAAAAUGAGAUAGAGUUAAUUAGGAUGGUUUAGUCAUGUUCAAUGUAGAGUACUUAAUGUCUUAGUAUGGAGGUUUGACAAAUUAGUGAUGGAAAGAGUGAGAAGGGAAAAUGGGAGGCCUAAUAUGACAUGAAAAGAAGUAGUAUGAAAAGAUUCACAAUUUUUGCAUAUCGAUAAAAAUUGGUUUCAAAUAGAAGUGAAUGAAAUAUGAUCUAUAUAGCUGGCUCCAACUAGCUUGGGAUUAAGGCUUUGUUGUUAGUGUUAUAGCUUUUAAGGGCAUGCUUGUGGCGUACGUCACAUAGAUAAUUGGGCUAUUGAAUCUAUGGCGAUGAGGGAUAGCAUUACAGAGGCACACACUUGUGAGGUACAAAGUGGUGAAAAGAUAUGCCUCCCUUGCCACGCUCUAGAUAUCUUGCUGGUGAAGGCUGCUACCACUAGAAUUAUGGCUCCCAACUGGCAUAGUUCAGGGUCUCUUUUUUCUUUCUUUCUUCCUCCUCCUUUUGUAACAAUUUUAAAACUAAUCUCUAUCUGCCUCUCUCUCUCUCUGUGUUUGUGUUUCUUUGUUUC